rnacentral:rRNA from 1 species
AACGAACGCUGGCGGCAGGCUUAACACAUGCAAGUCGAGCGCCCCGCAAGGGGAGCGGCAGCCGGGUGAGUAACGCGUGGGAACGUACCUUUUGGUUCGGAACAACUCCGGGAAACUGGAGCUAAUACCGGAUAAGCCCUAACGGGGAAAGAUUUAUCGCCGAAAGAUCGGCCCGCGUCUGAUUAGCUAGUUUGUGAGGUAACGGCACACCAAGGCGACGACCAGUAGCUGGUCUGAGAGGAUGAUCAGCCACACUGGGACUGAGACACGGCCCAGACUCCUACGGGAGGCAGCAGUGGGGAAUAUUGGACAAUGGGGGCAAGCCUGAUCCAGCCAUGCCGCGUGAGUGAUGAAGGCAUUAGGGUUGUAAAGCUCUUUUGUCCGGGAAGAUAAUGACUGUACCGGAAGAAUAAGCCCCGGCUAACUUCGUG